rnacentral:pre_miRNA from 1 species
AAUCUAGUGGAAUCAUUUCUGCACAAACUCGACUACUGAAAUCAGUGUGCGGAAUUGCUUCUGCUACAUU